UUAUUUAGAAACGCAGACAUCAUGGCAUCGUCACCAACCUUCUCCAAAGUCUCUCUGCUCUUGUUGGUGUCACUUUCUUUCUCCUAUGCAACUUCUGGCUUCAACCAUGAGCAUGCUUACCCACCACAAUCACAAGCAGAGAUGCUCACAAGAAACCUUAACCUAUUCCCAAAGGACCCAGUUAACAUUAUUAAAGGUGAUUUUGAUAGUUUUGUACCAGGAAAGAUAGUGGAGAAGAAGUUCUCGCUUCUUGGUCAUUCUGGGCCUUCUAUUCAACACCUUGGUCACCAUGCUGGCCACUAUUCCCUUCCUCAUUCCAAAGCUGCAAGAAUGUUCUACUUUUUCUUUGAAUCACGGAACAAUAAGGAUGAUCCUGUAGUGAUAUGGUUGACUGGAGGACCAGGGUGUGGAAGUGAAUUAGCUUUGUUUUAUGAGAAUGGUCCUUUUCAUAUUGCCAAUAACUUGUCUCUUACAUGGAAUGAUUACGGCUGGGACCAGGCAUCAAAUAUUUUAUUUGUUGACCAACCCACUGGGACAGGGUUUAGUUACUCUUCUGAUGAUAGUGACAUUCGUCAUGAUGAAGCCAGCAUUAGCAACGAUUUAUAUGACUUCUUGCAGGAGUUUUUCAAGGCUCAUCCUAAGUUCGUUAAGAAUGACUUUUAUAUUACCGGAGAAUCAUACGCUGGACACUAUAUUCCGGCUCUUGCAUCCCGGAUAAUCCAAGGAAAUAAAGAAAAUCAAGGAAUUUAUAUAAAUCUCAAGGGUUUAGCCAUUGGUAAUGGGGCAACAAAUCCUGCAAUUCAAUACCAAGCAUAUCCAGAUUUUGCAUUAGACAACAAAAUAAUUACAAAGGCUAAUUACGAUGAAAUCAACAAGUUAAUCCCAGAUUGUGAACAAGCCGCUAAAACUUGUGAAACUCAAGGUGGACAAAGUUGCGCGAUCGCAUUUAAUACUUGCCAAAAAAUAUUCUACCAUAUCCUGGACUUUGCUCCCGGCAUUAACUACUAUGACAUCAGAAAAAAAUGUAAGGGAGAUUGGUGCUAUGACUUUCGAAACGUGGAGACUCUGUUAAACCUACCGAAAGUAAAGAGUGUUAUAGGGGUGUCAAAUGACUUGCAGUAUGUUUCAUGCAGUAAAAGAGUGCAUGAGGCUAUGAUGCAAGACUAUAUGAGAAACAUGGAAGUGGAGAUUCCUUCUCUUCUUGAGGACGGAAUCAAGUUGCUUGUGUAUGUAGGGGAAGAAGAUCUCAUAUGCAAUUGGCUUGGGAAUUCAAGGUGGGUACAUGCAAUGAAGUGGUCAGGCAAAAAGGCCUUUGGAAAAUCUCCUACAGUGAAAUUUGUGGUUGAUGGUUCAAAAGCAGGGUCUCUUAAUAGCUAUGGACCUCUUUCUUUCCUCAAGGUACAUGAGGCUGGACACUUGGUCCCUAUGGAUCAACCAAAAGCUGCACUUCAGAUGUUGCAAAGUUGGAUGGCAGGGAAACUGACAUAAACAAAAGGAGAGACAAUUAAUGUCGCUCAAAAUUCUAUACAUUCACCUCAAAACCAAAACCAGACAUCCUCUGAACAUGGAUAGUGAUCACAAUUAUUUUGGCUACAUGACUUGGUUUGUUUUUGGAGGGUGGAGUUUAUAUUUUUUUCUGAACCUUUCUGAAAUUCCUGAUAUUUAUACUCAAGUUAACGGUUUGUGCAAUGCUCACCAUUUUCGUAUUUACUUUAUACAAGAAAAUGUGAUCACUUCUAGAAUAAACAAUUAAACAUGUUCAUGUUCAGCACUA